rnacentral:misc_RNA from 1 species
AACGCACAUUGCGCCCUUUGGCAUUCCGAAGGGCAUGCCUGUUCGAGCGUCAUUAUCACCCCUCAAGCCCUUCGGCUUGGUGUUGGACGGUUUGGUGAAUAUCUUUUACUUAUUUACCCCUCCCAAAGACAAUGACGGCGGCCUCGUUGGAUCCCCGGUACACUGAGUUCUUCACCGAACACGUAUUGGAUCAAGGAUUCACGGGCAACGGUCUGCCUCCCCUCAGGGAGAACUUUUAUCUAAGGUUGACCUCGGAUCAGGUAGGGAUACCCGCUGAACUUAA